rnacentral:RNase_P_RNA from 1 species
UCGGUGUGUGAUUCUAUCGCUCCGGCCGCAAGACCGGGGAGGAAAGUCCGGACAACACAGGGCGCCGCGCUGUGGAAAGCACAGGUAGCCGUAAGGGUAGGGCAGGCAUAACAGAAAACAACCGUCGAAGGUAGGCACGACAAGGGUGAAAAGGCGAGGUAAGAGCUCACCGGUUGCGGCAGCGAUGCUGCAAGCCGUAUGCCCCCGCGGGUUGCAAGGCCAUGUAUACCGGCGUUUAGUAGGACGGCUCGUCCGAUGCCGGGGGGUAGGCCGCAUUAGAUAAAUGAUAGAACGCGACAGAAUCCGGCUUAUACACACACCGGUUUU